rnacentral:rRNA from 1 species
CCUACGGGCGGCAGCAGUGAGGAAUAUUGGUCAAUGGACGAGAGUCUGAACCAGCCAAGUAGCGUGAAGGAUGACUGCCCUAUGGGUUGUAAACUUCUUUUAUAUGGGAAUAAAACGUUCCACGUGUGGGAUUUUGUAUGUACCAUAUGAAUAAGGAUCGGCUAACUCCGUGCCAGCAGCCGCGGUAAUACGGAGGAUCCGAGCGUUAUCCGUAUUUAUUGGGGUUAAAGGGAGCGUAGGUGGAUUGUUAAGUCAGUUGUGAAAGUUUGCGGCUCAACCGUAAAAUUGCAGUUGAAACUGGCAGUCUUGAGUACAGUAGAGGUGGGCGGAAUUCGUGGUGUAGCGGUGAAAUGCUUAGAUAUCACGAAGAACUCCGAUUGCGAAGGCAGUUCACUGGACUGCAACUGACACUGAGGCUCGAAAGUGUGGGUAUCAAACAGGAUUAGAUACCCCAGUAGUC